GGAUUAUUAUUUGUCCCUCUGUGUGGUUUAGGGUGAUGGUGAUGUUCCACUUGUUCAUUUGUGUCCUCAGGAAAGAUCUUAUUUCCUCAUUGAUGUUGUAGAGUUCCAGGCACCUCAUUAUCAAGGAGUGUGGCAUGCUGUCAAAUGCCUUUUUGUAAUCAAUCAAAGCAGUGUUAAGGUUUGUUCUUUUUUUUGCAGUCCUCCAUGGUAGCUUUAUUUAUCAAUAACUGACCUUUGGCUCUUAAUCUUUUCCUCAUGCAACCUUACUGUUCAUUUUCUAAGGAGCCACCAGAGUCAAGAUGUUUAUAAAUUGCAUCAGCUAUAAUUCCUGUCAGCCAUUUAGAUGAUGUUUGUACCUAUUGGUUCGCUGUGUUUCCUUGGUCUUUUGAACCUGUAUGAAUUAUCAUGUGUUUUUUCAGGGAGCUCUUUAGUCCAAAUCUUUUACCACACUCAGAACAGCCAAAUAGUUUGUGUCCUGAAUGAAUUAUCAUGUGUGUUUUCAGAUUGCUCUUUAGUCCAAAUCUUUUUCCACACUCGGAACAGCCAAAUAGUUUGUGUCCUGAAUGAAUUAUCAUGUGUGUUUUCAGAUUGCUCUUUAGUCCAAAUCUUUUACCACACUCAGAACAGCCAAAUGGUUUUUGUCCUGUAUGAAUUAUCAUGUGUUUUGUCAGAUAGCUCUUUUGUCCAAAUCUUUUACCACACUCAGAACAGCCAAAUGGUUUGUGUCCUGUAUGAACUAUCAUGUGUUUUUUCAGGUCAUUCUUUUGUCCAAAUCUUCGAGCACAUUCAGGACAGCCAAAUCGUUUUUGUCCUGUAUGAAUAAUCAUGUGUUUUUUCAGGUUGCUCUUUUGUCCAAAUCUUUGACCACAUUCAGAACAGCCAAACUGUUUUAGUCCUGAAUGAAUUAGCAUGUGUUUUGUCAGGUUGCCCUUUUGUCCAAAUCUUCGACUACAUUCAGAACA